AUUGAACGCUGGCGGCAGGCCUAACACAUGCAAGUCGAGCGAGCGGCGGACGGGUGAGUAAUGUAUGGGGACUGCCCGAUAGAGGGGGAUAACUACUGGAAACGGUGGCUAAUACCGCAUACUAUCGGAUAACCCAUAUGGGAUUAGCUAGUAGGUGGGGUAAAGGCUCACCUAGGCGACGAUCUCUAGCUGGUCUGAGAGGAUGAUCAGCCACACUGGGACUGAGACACUGCCCCGGUUCCGUCGGAGGCAGCAUGGGGGAAUCUUGCACAAUGUGCGCAAGCCUGAUGCGUCCAUGCCCCGUGUAUGAAGUAGGCCUUAUGGUUGUAAAGUACUUUCAGCGGGGAGGCGUUACCCGCAGAAGAAGCACCGGCUAACUCCGUGCCAGCAGCCGCGGUAAUUC
rnacentral:rRNA from 1 species